rnacentral:rRNA from 1 species
AUUGAACGCUGGCGGCAAGCUUAACACAUGCAAGUCGAGCGGGGAAGGGUAGCUUGCUACCUAACCUAGCGGCGGACGGGUGAGUAAUGCUUAGGAAUCUGCCAUUUAGUGGGGGACAACAUUCCGAAAGGAAUGCUAAUACCGCAUACGUCCUACGGGAGAAAGCAGGGGAUCUUCGGACCUUGCGCUAAAUGAUGAGCCUAAGUCGGAUUAGCUAGUUGGUGGGGUAAAGGCCUACCAAGGCGACGAUCUGUAGCGGGACUGAGAGGAUGAUCCGCCACACUGGGACUGAGACACGGCCCAGACUCCGACGGGAGGCAGCAGGGGGGAAUAUUGGACAAUGGGCGGAAGCCUGAUCCAGCCAUGCCGCGUGUGUGAAGAAGGCCUUAUGGUUGUAAAGCACUUUAAGGGAGGAGGAGGCUACUUAGAUUAAUACUCUAGGAUAGUGGACGUUACUCGCAGAAUAAGCACCGGCUAACUCUGUGCCAGCCGCCGCAGUAA